AAGUUAUGAACUGACCAAUCAGAUGCCUAAUUAAAAGCAUGUGGCUCCUGCUGGCCCCGCCUCGAACGUGUGAUUGACAGAUUCCUCCGAGCCCCUUUCAGUAGGAGGGGUGUGGGCUUCGAACAAGCCAGAACAAGCUCACUCCUGAUUGGUUGACAGUACUUCCUCUAAAAACGUGACUCAGACCGACUGAAUCCCUACUGAAGAGUUGCAAUCGCAGUAGACCUACCAGGAAAUGACGGCGAAGGGUCUGGCCUGAUUUCGCGAGGGUGAAAGGUCAGAUUUGCAUCCCUGAUGGCUUUUCCAUGAGGACAGAAAGCGUCAAACGUGCGGCGGACCACCAGUAUGAAGCAGGAAAAGGGGUUCUAUUACAGUUAAGGCUGGAGAGCAGAGAAGACGCAGGUGGACGUACCUGAAAGGAUGGAGGCUGAGGGAGAAGAGCGACUCUGGCAGCUCACAUGCCGUCCACUGGAGCGAUGCUCUGCAUUCAGAUGAGGUCCAGAGGGC